rnacentral:rRNA from 1 species
ACGAACGCUGGCGGCAUGCCUAACACAUGCAAGUCGAACGAGACCUUCGGGUCUAGUGGCGCACGGGUGCGUAACGCGUGGGAACCUGCCCUUAGGUUCGGAAUAACUCCCCGAAAGGGGUGCUAAUACCGGAUAAUGUCUUCGGACCAAAGAUUUAUCGCCUUUGGAUGGGCCCGCGUUGGAUUAGCUAGUUGGUAGGGUAAAAGCCUACCAAGGCGACGAUCCAUAGCUGAUCUGAGAGGAUGAUCAGCCACACUGGGACUGAGACACGGCCCAGACUCCUACGGGAGGCAGCAGUGGGGAAUAUUGGACAAUGGGCGAAAGCCUGAUCCAGCAAUGCCGCGUGAGUGAUGAAGGCCUUAGGGUUGUAAAGCUCUUUUACCCGGGAUGAUAAUGACAGUACCGGGAGAAUAAGCUCCGGCUAACUCCGUG